UCUGGUUGAUCCUGCCAGUAGUCAUAUGCUUGUCUCAAAGACUAAGCCAUGCAUGUCUAAGUAUAAAUGUUAUACAGUGAAACUGCGAAUGGCUCAUUAAAACAGUUAUAGUUUAUUUGAUAAUCGAAUUUACAUGGAUAACCGUGGUAAUUCUAGAGCUAAUACAUGCUGGUUAGCCUGACUUUUGCGGAAGGGCUGUAUUUAUUAGAUAACAAACCAAUAUUCCUUGUGUCUAUUGUGAUGACUCAUAAUAACUGAUCGAAUCGCAUGGGCUUUGCCCGCGAUACAUCAUUCAAGUUUCUGCCCCAUCAGCUUUCGAUGGUAGUGUAUUGGACUACCAUGGCGUUCACGGGUAACGGAGGAUUAGGGUUCGAUUCCGGAGAGGGAGCCUGAGAAACGGCUACCACAUCUAAGGAAGGCAGCAGGCGCGUAAAUUAUCCAAUCCUGACUCAGGGAGGUAGUGACAAGAAAUAACGGACCGAAGCCUAUGUUUCGGGAUUGCAAUGAGUAGAAUUUAAACCCCUUUACGAGGAUCAAUUGGAGGGCAGUCUGGUAAUCA
rnacentral:rRNA from 1 species